UUCCUACGGGAGGCAGCAGUGGGGAAUAUUGCACAAUGGGCGCAAGCCUGAUGCAGCCAUGCCGCGUGUGUGAAGAAGGCCUUCGGGUUGUAAAGCACUUUCAGUCGUGAGGAAGGUAGUGUAGUUAAUAGCUGCAUUAUUUGACGUUAGCGACAGAAGAAGCACCGGCUAACUCCGUGCCAGCAGCCGCGGUAAUACGGAGGGUGCGAGCGUUAAUCGGAAUUACUGGGCGUAAAGCGCAUGCAGGUGGUUUGUUAAGUCAGAUGUGAAAGCCCGGGGCUCAACCUCGGAAUAGCAUUUGAAACUGGCAGACUAGAGUACUGUAGAGGGGGGUAGAAUUUCAGGUGUAGCGGUGAAAUGCGUAGAGAUCUGAAGGAAUACCGGUGGCGAAGGCGGCCCCCUGGACAGAUACUGACACUCAGAUGCGAAAGCGUGGGGAGCAAACAGGAUUAGAUACCCUGGUAGUCCACGCCGUAAACGAUGUCUACUUGGAGGUUGUGGCCUUGAGCCGUGGCUUUCGGAGCUAACGCGUUAAGUAGACCGCCUGGGGAGUACGGUCGCAAGAUUAAAACUCAAAUGAAUUGACGGAA
rnacentral:rRNA from 1 species